CAAUCGGCCCUUUCUAGGGCCACCAAAUUAUUUAAACGCAUUAAUA
rfam:Trichomalopsis sarcophagae strain Alberta scaffold4217, whole genome shotgun sequence.